GCAGGCGUGGCCGAGCGCUCGAAGGCACUGGUUCGCAACACCAGCGACGACCAACCGCGUCCACGCGGGUUGAAAUCCCGCCGCCUGCU
rnacentral:tRNA from 1 species